rnacentral:lncRNA from 1 species
AAUAACAGUAAUAAUAUUUUCUUUUUUUUUGUCACAGGGACAUAGAUGAGUGGGAUAUCACAAGGGUAGCGUACAACCUGUGGGGGGGUUACAUAUAAGAUGGGGGGAACGCAAGGGGAGAGAGUGCGAAAUGAGAUGAAAGUAUACAUAGUAUACAAAGUAUGAGAUAGUAUGAAGAUACAGAAGAAACUCCAACAAGGGCCAACCAAGAAAGCCCAUAGACCCAGGAUUGUCCUGACCACAAACAGAAUGCGCUUUCGCCAACAGUAAUGGCUUCUUUUUUUAGCAACAAGAACUCGAAUGAUGAAUUAAAAUGCAAUAACAAUGAUUCUUAUUCUUUUGUUUCAGUCAUGAGACUGCGGCCAUGCUGGAGCACCGCCUUUUAGUCGACCAAAUCGCCCCCAGGACUUAUUCUUUGUAAGCCUUAGUACUUAUUCUACCGUUAAGUUACGGGGACGUAAACACACUAGCAUCGGUUGUCAAGCGUAUGUUGAGGGGACAAACACAGACACAGAAACAUAUACAUACAUACAUACAUACAUACAUACAUACAUACAUACAUGUAUGUAUAUAUAUAUAUAUAUAUAUAUAUAUAUAUAUAUAUAUAUAUACAUUUAUAUAUACGACUGGCUUCUUUCAGUUUCUGUCAACCAAAUCCACUCAAAAGGCUUUGGUCGGCCCUAGGCAAUAGUAGAAGGCACUUGCCCAAGGUGCCACGCAGUGAGACCGAACUCGGAAUAAUGUUGUUGGUAAGCAAGCUACUUACCACAUAGCCAGUCUACAAAGCCGUGUGAAGUAAAGCAGAUAAAUUAUAUGAAGACAAGAGGAGAUGUGGAUACACACGUGCGUGCUUUAAAUCAUACAUUUCAGAUUAUUUACAAACGUUUUCCUCCUCAAAUUUCUCAAAAUGUAAUUUAAAAUUCAUUAAUCCUAUGACAAAUGUGUCUGUAAGAGAAAGUAUAUCAUACAGAGUAGAUAUAUCUAUAUUACCUUAAUUCGGGACACAAGAUAUGCUUCGAUGUGUUAGAACACAGCAAAUCGGGAUAUUUUAGAGAUACAGUCGUAUUAAAAAAAGAGACAUCAAUUUCAUGAUGAGUUAAUAUAGAGAUAAAUGCCUUUACGUUCUGAGUUCAAAUUCUGUCGAGGUCAACUUUGCCUUUCAUCCCUUCGGGGUCGAUAAAUUAAGUACCAGUUGCGUACUGGGCUCGAUCUAAUCGACUGGCCCUCUCCCCCAAAAUUUCUGACCUUGUGCCUAGAAUAGAAAAGAAUGUAGAGAUGAAAGAACGAAAGAAAAGCGAAUUCCGUUUUACUGAAGCUGUACAAUGCAUUUAAAGUAUUCGAUUAGGCAAGUAAAAGAUACAAAAUGUUCAAUACCAAAGCCACUCCCACCAUACAGCUAUAUUUAAUAAAUAUUUAAACUCACAUACAGACGCAUGCGUACAUGAGUAUGCAUAAUGUAUAUGUUUACCUGUCUAUAUACACUGGGGCGGAUUCUUUUGACCAAAAUUCUUCAAGGUGGUGCCACAACAUGGCCACAGUCUAACGACUGAAACGAGUGACAUAUAUAUAUAUAUAUAUAUAUAUAUAUAUAUAUAUAUAUAUAUCAUAUAUACAUACAUAACUCGUGAUACAGAUGUGAAAAAUCGUAUAGCAAUAUGACAGACGAUAUUGUAUUUAUGUAUUAUGUUUUUUUUUAUUAACAGUCGAUAUACAUAGAUGUGUGUGCGCGUGCGUGUGUACAUUUAUAUGCAUAGUUGAUAUAUAUAUAUAUACACACACACACACAUAGAAUUAUACAUAUAUGUAUGUACAUUCUUUUAUUUGUUUCAGUCAUUUGACUGCGGCCAUGCUGGACCACCGCCUUUAGUCGAACAAAUCGAUCCCAGAACUUAUUCUUUGUGAGCCUAGUACUUAUGCUAUAGGUCUCUUUUGCCGAACUGCUAAGUUACGGGGAUAUAAACACACCAACAUCGGUUGUCAAGCGAUGAUGGGGGGACAAACACAAACACACAAACAUAUAAAUAUAUAUAUAUACGACGGGCUUCUCUCAGUUUCCGUCUACCAAAUCUACUCACAAGGCGUGAGUAGCAGACGCUGGCCCGAGGUUCCACGCAGUGGGACUGAACCCAGAACCAUGUGGUUGGUAAGCAAGCUAUUUACCACACAGCAAUGCCUGCCCUGUAUAUAUAAAGUUUUUGCGGGGAGAAAACUUGGAUGUUUUAUUCAAAUUCUUAUAUGUGAAAACAUUGAUUGUCGGAUUUUUGUUGUAUUGAGCUUAAUUGAUUUAAAUAAGGAAUGGAAUUUUAAUACUUCAUUAAUUGUGAUUUGAUGUUUUUAAAACAAUGCUUAUUAACGUAUGUUUUAAAUCUACUGCUUAAUGAGCUCAGCAAAGCUAUUCAUAUAAACCUGUCUUCCUCAGACAGUUUCGAUCCUCCAUACGUUCAUGCAAAUUAGAAAUGCUUCCUCUUUUAAUUAUUAUUCAUAGACAUUUGCAUGGCACAUUAGAUACACAACACAAUCUUAUUCAAAAGGGCAAUUAAUUUUGUAGCUUUGUCAAAAUUUAAUUAAUAUUGUUUUUUGUUUUUUACUUCAAAUUAUCAAAAUUUAUUAACUUAAUCCAUUGACAUUAGCCAUGUGAAAUCUGCGUGAGACUUAUUUUUAAUUUUAUCAAUAACUAUUUCAAGCCAGUUUUCGUUAUAGUUUGUUUCUUAUGUAGAAUGCGGAGGUUAUUGUAUAAAAUCAUAAAUAGCCAUUUCGUUUACGGAUAUUAGAUUUCAAAACUCUAAUCACCAUUCUAAUUAUCUCAAGCAGCUUUUCACAGCAUAUUUUACAAUUAACAAUUAACAAGAUUCUUGCCAACAAUACUGUUUGGCAAUAUACAAAUGAAAAAUAAGGCGACGAGUUGGCAGAAUCUUAAGCACGCAUUUCGUCCGUAUUUACGUUCUGCGUUCAAAUUCCACUGAAGUCAACUUUGCUACCAUCCUCACUCAAAAUUGCUGGCCUUUGCCAAAAUUUGAAACCAAUAUACAAAUAAAAAAUACGGUACUAAACUUUAGAGUUACCUAGUAACAGUCUGUGAUCUUGUACCUCUUCUAGAAUUCUUAUGUAACAUUAUCGCUCCACAUCAUUCAAGAGGUAAUAUCUCUCGUUUUGGGGGGUGAGAGGGGGUGGGUGGAAUCACUGUGUAAAGGAUGUUGUGCAUAUUUUCCUUUUUAGUCGUCGUCAUCAUCAUCAUUAUCGGAAUACUACUACAUGCUAAUUUAAUUAGCAUGGAAGUUAUCUUGGUGUUUCUUCAAAUCACAAGAAUCUUUCUGGGGAUUCUUGCAAAAACAGGAUGGCAUUUUUCAUAAUAAUAAUAAUAAUAAUAAUAAUAAUAAUAAUAAUAAUAAUGUAUUAUCAUCAUUAUUAUUAUUAUUAUUAAUAUUACUAUUAUUAUUAUUAUUAUUAUUAUUAUUAUUAUUAUUAUUAUUAUUAUUAUUAUUAUUAUUAUUAUUAUUAUUAUUGAUAAGGCGGCGAGCUGGCAGAAUCAUUAGCACGCUGGACGAAAUGAUCAGCGGUAUUUCGUCUGCCAUUACGUUCUGAGUUCAAAUUCCGCCAAAGUCGACUUUGCCUUUCAGGGUCGAUAAAUUAAGUACUAGUUACGCACUGGGGGUCGAGGGAUGUAAUCGACUUAAUCCCUUUCCCCAAAUUUGAGGCAUUGUGCUUCCAGUAGAAAUCUAAAAAUAUUAUUAUUAUUAUUAUCAUCAUCAUCAUUAUCAUCAUCAUCAUUAUCAUCAUUAAUAUUAUUAUUAUUAUCAUUAUUAUUAUUAUUAUUAUUAUUAUCAUUAUUAUUAUUAUCAUUAUUAUUAUUAUCAUUAUUAUUAUUAUUAUUAUUAUUAUUAUUGUUGUUGUUAUUAUUAUUAUUAUUAUUAUCAUUAUUAUUAUUAUUAUUAUUAUUAUUAUUAUUAUUAUUAUUAUUUCUCCUUUGGAUCUACGAAUCUAUGGAUAUAUCAUGAUAUUAGUGUUGUUCCUACAACAAGAGACCAGAAAAUGCUUUUAGUCUUCUCAUUGAAUGUAUUCUUGCUGAAAUCAUAUCUUUUUAUAUGGCAGCUAAUAUGCGGAUUUAUUUAUUUAUUUAUAUUUUUUCUCGUAAAAUAUUUUAUCACAUAUGUAUGUGAAAAUUAUAUGGAAGCAACACAAAGCUGAAAAAUAGCAAAGGAAUAAAUAAAAAAAAACGAAAGAAAAGAAAACUAAAAAAAAUAUUUUAAAAUGUUUAUAUAUAAUUCCUUUCUUCUUUAGCUUUAUGUACAUAUAUAGCCAUUUUGUUUUCUUGCAGUAAUCUUAUUUUGUUUUGCUUUCUAUUCUUUUAAUUUCAUACAAUUAUAAUAGAUGUGUUUCAUAAACGGAAUAUCAAAAAAAUAAAAAAGAAAAAAUAGAAAAAGAAAAAUGUGCUUCGAAGCUGUGUUUUCCCCCUCCAUUUUAGCGACAAAAUGAAACGAUAUGGCAAGGAACAUUCUUCUACGUGUCUUAUAUGGCAUAUAUAUAUAUAAAUA